CCUACGGGUGGCAGCAGUGAGGAAUAUUGGUCAAUGGUCGUAAGACUGAACCAGCCAAGUAGCGUGCAGGAUGACGGCCCUAUGGGUUGUAAACUGCUUUUAUGCGGGGAUAAAAUGCGUCACGUGUGAUGUUUUGUAGGUACCGCAUGAAUAAGGACCGGCUAAUUCCGUGCCAGCAGCCGCGGUAAUACGGAGGAUGCGAGCGUUAUCCGGAUUUAUUGGGUUUAAAGGGUGCGUAGGCGGAAGGUUAAGUCAGCGGUCAAAUGUCGGUGCUCAACACCGGCCUGCCGUUGAAACUGGUCUUCUUGAGUGAGCGAGAAGUAUGCGGAAUGCGUGGUGUAGCGGUGAAAUGCAUAGAUAUCACGCAGAACUCCGAUUGCGAAGGCAGCAUACCGGCGCUCAACUGACGCUGAGGCACGAAAGCGUGGGGAUCGAACAGGAUUAGAUACCCGGGUAGUC
rnacentral:rRNA from 1 species